AAUUGAGUGAAAGGCUUCAACAAGGUACAAUUUCCCUCUCUAUUUAUUUACUACUACCGAACAUCAAAAAUAGCCUGAAAAUAGCUGAAAAACAGUCCAAAAAAUGAAGAUUUCAAAUCUUCAAUUACCUCUCUUGAAGCUGCACAACAAUCUAGAUUUGAAAGGGGAGGAGGAAUUCAUAGCUUGUGUGGGCACACACACUUCAGACCUCUCAAUACCUCACAUCCAUUGUUCUUUUUCCUGCCUCGCUGCACAUUUGUUGGCAAACACAAAAUGAGUCUUCACUGCAAAGCAUAUAACCCUAACCCUAACCCUUCUGAAUUUGGAUUAUUACACAACCAUAUUUUUACCUUAAAACUUGUGGACUUCAAAACGGGCCAAAAAAUGGGCGGGGGCGGGGCCAGACAAUGGUGGGAUUAGCCCGAACCAGUCCAAACCAGCUGAAUCCCACCACUGCAUGGAUGGACAGGGGAAACCUUUACUUUUAUACAUUAUAGCACAUACUUUUACAAAUUUAGCCUAUUAGUUUGCAUUACAAUUAUAAUGAUGCUAUCAAUACAAUUGUGAUUAAUUCAGGGAGACUACAGACCAGCUAACUCCACCUUUUCCAAUCUUGUAUGACUUCUUUCAAUUGUAGUUUGCAUAAUAAGGCAACAAAUUAAGUUUCCUAUAUUUUUACUCGAAGUCUUUCUGCCUUUAAAUAUGCAAUUUAUUUGUUUGUUCACUCGAUUUGUAUGGCCACCCAUCUUAACAAAUGAUUCUGGGGAGCAAACAAUAAUAAAAUAAGACAAAUUGGAAAAUGUAAUAACAAAGCUUCCUUUUUUUUUAUGUUGACUAUGAAUUGGAUCAAUAGGCAAUUAGUUGAACUUCCAUAGAAAUGAGUAGUGUAUUAUGACUGAUAUUUUGUAUCAUAUAUAACUUUGAAUGGUGUUACCAGGUAUGCCCAAGCACAUUUUAGAUUCAUGAAUAUUCCGUUAUAUUCUCUAUGGGAUCAUAAAAGAAUAUUAAAAGUGUUUUUUUAUUAAUGAAUUCAAUAAUUCCAUAUAUGUAAUCUCCAGUCUUUCAUUGACAAAUACACAGAAUUGGUGUUUAAGGAAUUUCUUUCAGGAAGAGCAAAAAUGAACAAGUUCUGAUUAUUUUCAUUGGGGAUAUACAAAAUAUGAAAUAAUUUUGUUGUUAGAAUCAUAAUAUACAAAAGUACCACUUGUAUCGAUGUAAGUGUUCCCAUCGUGUGACCUACAACAGUUGACCAGAUUUAGCAAGAGGGAAAACAUAACGAUGCUUGUCCAGGAAAAUUACAUUGCAUUUUCAUUUCAUUACCAGUAUCUCACAGAGAACAAAUGUGUUUAAUGUUUAUUUUAAUUAAUCUGCUUCAUGAUAUAGUUUACUUCUUAACCAUAUUAAAUAUUUAAAUAGUAGACCCAAGUUACCUUUAUUAAACAUUCUCUUCCUCAUCUUUUUAAAUUUCUUGUUUAAUAUUAUUACUCUAUUGCUUAAAUUUCACAAGAAGAAAUUUUACCAGUGGAAAAAACCAUACCUGAAACCCUUACAGAAACUUGAAUAUGUUGCUAACUUCUGUGUUUAGUAGUCACAGAGAGUGUGCUAAGGAAUCUGAAUGUAAAUAUCCCACAUCAAAUUGCAUUCCAAGAAGUGGAGUACACCUGAAUAGAGCAACUCACACAGACUGUCCUUCAGAUACAAGAACUAUCUCACAACCUGUUAAAAACAGGAGAGGAGAAAGAUUUCCUUACAAGUGCCGAGAAGGAUGCAUAGAAUUGAGAAUCUGCAUGACAGCAGUUAUGCAACAAAUGUACCAGAUCCUAUGCUUGCUCCCCAGCUGCUGAUGAACAACUUCUCAUUUUUCUUAAUCUUUCGGGUUCCACUUCCUCUCAAAUGCUGGUCAAUAAAGUAUUUACCAUUGUU